UGCGCAGGCGGGGAUAUAAGUCAGUGGUGAAAUACUGCCGCUUAACGGUAGAAUUGCCAUUGAUACUGUAUCUCUUGAGUAUGGUUGAGGUAGGCGGAAUGUGCAGUGUAGCGGUGAAAUGCAUAGAUAUUGCACAGAACGCCAAUUGCGAAGGCAGCUUACCAAGCCAUUACUGACGCUGAGGCACGAAAGCGUGGGGAGCGAACAGGAUUAGAUACCCUGGUAGUCC
rnacentral:rRNA from 1 species